rnacentral:rRNA from 1 species
AACGAACGCUGGCGGCAUGCCUAACACAUGCAAGUCGAACGAGACCUUCGGGUCUAGUGGCGCACGGGUGCGUAACGCGUGGGAACCUGCCCUUAGGUUCGGAAUAACUCCCCGAAAGGGGUGCUAAUACCGGAUAAUGUCUUCGGAUCAAAGAUUUAGCGCCUUUGGAUGGGCCCGCGUUGGAUUAGCUAGUUGGUAGGGUAAAAGCCUACCAAGGCGACGAUCCAUAGCUGGUCUGAGAGGAUGCUCAGCCACACUGGGACUGAGACACGGCCCAGACUCAUACGGGAGGCAGCAGUAGGGAAUAUUGGACAAUGGGCGAAAGCCUGAUCCAGCAAUGCCGCGUGAAUGAUGAAGGCCGUAGGGUUGUAAAGCUCUUUUACCCGGGAUGAGAAUGACAGUACCGGGAGGAUAAGCUCCGGCUAACUCCGUG